CAUUUCUACGUCCUCGAGUGAACCACCCAUAUACAUUCCCACUCGUAACGAGGUGGAACCAUCCGGCAAGUUAUCGUGGAUUACCGUCUGAACUUGAAGAUAUACGGCUUCUAUUGGAGCAACGGUCGGAAGCAGAAUUUCAAUGGACACCAUACGAGGAUCCGGCAGUCCAGGCAGUAAUCCCGGAAGAGUUUUUACAAAAUCCGAACGCUUGGCACGUGAAAGUGGUGUUGAUCAACUAUGCAACCGUGGAGCCCCACC